ACCUUGCAACCUCACAAUCUGUGAUUAUAUCACCAGCUGGGACACGUGCUGGAGAGGAAUUAGAUGAACUGGAUGAUAACAUUUUUCCAUUCAGAGGGCGUGUGUGACUCUCCUCAAGGAACAGAAUGCCUGAAAUCAAUGGAUUCCAGGUUGCACCAUGAGAAGAGAGCUCCCACAUUCACCAAGGGCUUGUGGAAGAAGGAGAGCAGCAAGGAGAAUGCACAACAGCCUUCAAAUCCAGGGUGUUUCCCAGGUGCUUUGAAACUGAAGAGCAAAAAGGCUGUGUGAGAUGCUUCUUUCAAACAUGUCUGCUGCUCUGAAGGGCAUGCACUGAUUGUAAGGACAACACCUCUGUGCCCUCCUUGCAAACAAGGACAUUUUCCCACAG
rnacentral:lncRNA from 1 species